AGCCAUUCCAUGCAAAACGUCACAGUGGCAAUCAGAAAAGGCAUCUCUGAAAUGUACAAUGAAGAAGGACGUUAAAAGAAAAUUUAUUUACCCAGAGUCAGUGAAUAAUACAGUUUAGUCUUUAUGUAAAAGGCUCAGUCAGAGCAAAUGAUGGGGUGUCCUUGAGGGGUUCCAGAAAUUUGAACCAAGGAUGAGAAUCUGAGAAUUUGUUGCUGCUUCAUUCAAUUUCUGUCACCUCAAUGGCUACUCAUUCUCUUUUCUACCCCCUACAGUCAUGAACAAUCUGGAUUUCAUGUCACAAGAGGAAACAGAGUCAUCACUUCAAGUACUGCACCAAUCAAGUCUGUUCUGGUAAUAAUGUGAGGUAAAUGAGACAUGUAAUGGGAAGAAGUGGAUAGAUUCCCAUGAUACAUAAUAAUUAGUAGGCAUCACUUAAAUAGAAUUUAUUCUAUCAGCAAAGUUAGAUGGUUCUUAAUGUAUGUCAAUAAAGGUGGGAGUGAGGGCAGACAAAGGCCAAGGAAGAGGAAGAUCACAACAUGAAAAAGAAAAAUGCCUAAUAAUAAUGAAAAUAUUAAUAGCAUAUUAUAUUAAAAUUCAAAGGAACAAAUAUUUUAGUUGUAUUAUCUAUGUGAAGAAUAUGAAGGCUAUUUGAGCAAACAGAUAUGAAGGAUGUUAAAAAUGUAUAUUUUUCUGCAUUGGACUACAAGCAGUUUCCAAAUUGAAACUGGAUAAUGUUCCCAAAGUAAUGUGAAAGACACUUAUUUGGAAUUCAGAAUAUAUGUUCCCAUAGAAACAUUGUUGAAAAUGUCAACUAGGUUCCUAGGUUACCUGUGAAUUCUAUUUAAACCACAUAUGUAGCUAAAAUACUAUUAAUUUGUAUUUCAAAUCAGUAGAAAAUAAAACUAUUGCAUUGGAAGAAGAAUAGCUAUUGGAAGAUGAGAUAACUGAAGAAAUAAUUGUAUGGAAUGCCUGAUAAAGGGCAUCUAGGAAAUAUCAAGAGGGUUAGAUGUGGAUGGUACAAAUCUUUAGGUGCAUUUGCAGUUCUUUCUUCUCUAGCUGUGUGCUCUCCCUUAGUGAUUCAAUUGAGUGCAUAGCUUUAAAUAUCACCGGUUUGCUGAAAUUUCCCAAAUUUAUAACUCCAGCUCAGACUUCUUUACUGAAAGCCAGUGGAGUUAUAUGCUUUCUCCAAGUCUUUUGUUCUGCUGUUCCCAUUGCCUACAAUGCUUGUCUCUGCGUCCCCACACAGUAAACUUCACUGGGUUCACUGGAGUCUCACUCCAUUGGGUCUUUUCUGAAAUGUCCCCUCCCUAGGCCUGCAAUGGCCAUCAUACCUUUCUUAAGAAUCCCAACUUCCACUGCAACCCUUUGCAUGCCCCAUCCCUCUUUUAUUUUUCUUCUAUCAUUAUCACCAUCUAAUAGACUAAACAUUACUUGUUUUCUGUCUUCCCCAUUCUAGAAUGUGAGCUCCCUAAGGGCAGUGGCAUUUGUCCCCAGCACCUAGAACAAGGCCAGGCAUAUAGUAGGCACUCAAAUAUUUGUUAAAUAAAUUGACUGAAUACAUGAAUUAAAUACCUGAAUGAGUAAAUAGAUGACCUUCUUUUUUAAUUUCAUGAGUGUUCUGUUGGCAUGGCUUUUACUUACCCUUAUCAUCUAUUACAGAGAUACAUUUUUUCAGACGGCAAAUAGAAAAUAAAAGGGCCGUAACAUCAUAUAUCAACUCUCUAUCUCCAGUCUUGCCACUCCCCAAUUAAUUUUCCACCCAGCAAUCACAAUAAUUUCUAAAACUCAGACCUGCUGAAACCGUAUCUAUGAAAUUUCAUGGCUUUGAAGACAAAGUUUAUCAUUUUUAACCUGGCUUUCAAAACCACUCAUGGUCUACCUCCUUCAUAUCUUUCCAGC
rnacentral:lncRNA from 1 species